rnacentral:rRNA from 1 species
AUGGUUGAAGGUUUGCAAAUCUCUAUUUCCAGAGUCAGCAAAAGAUCAUGGGAAAUAUGGUGGGAAAGACCUUACCCAGGAGGAACUUGCAUAUUUCCAAAGGGCCAGAGAAUCAGUAGUAAGCGUUUGACAAGGCGAUGGAUAGCUGAAGGAUUCGUUGCUGAAAAGCAGGGGCUGAGUGUGGAAGAUGUUGCAGAUACAUAUUUCAGUCAUCUCAUAAGAAGGAAGAUCAUCCGACCAGUGGAGCACGGCAGCAAUGGAAAGGUGAAGAAAUGCAUAGUCCAUGACAUGGUUCUUGAGCACAUUGUAGCCAAGGCAAGUGAAGAGAAUUUCAUCACUGUGAUUGGUGGUAACUGGCUUAUGCAGCUACCUAGCAGUAAGGUCCGUCGGCUGUCCCUCCAAGAAAGCGAUUCCAAACGCGCUAAUGAUACAGAGAAGAUGAACCUGUUUCAUGUCCGCUCACUGACCAUGUUUGGAAGCUUGAACCAACUGCCUUCCCAUUCUUUCAAGUUUGGAAUUGUACAAGUCCUGGAUCUUGAAGGCUGCAUAGGUUUCAAAGCGCAUCAUACAGAGGAGAUAUGCAAGAUGCUUCUUCUCAAGUAUCUCAGCCUCCGAAGAACUGACACUAAACAGCUUCCAAAAGCGAUUGGAAAGCUUCAGAACCUCGAGACUCUGGAUAUUAGAGAGACAAAUGUCGUUGAGUUGCCUAAAACUGUAUGCCUGCUUGAACGGCUGGUAAACAUACUUGGUGGGGACAAAAGAACACGAAGGGCAUUGAAGCUUCCUGAAGAGUUGAAUAAGAAGAAGAAAAUGAAGGCCCUGCGCAUACUAUCGGGGAUUCAGAUUGUUGGAGGAUUGGCGGACCUUCAUCAUUUGACUGAGUUGAGGAAGCUUGCCAUCUACAAGCUGAGCACCAUGAGUGACGAUCCUAGUUUCAAAGAUUUAAGCUCCUCAAUCGAGUACCUUGGGGGCUACUCUCUGCACACCCUUAUAAUUGACGACGAGUCGUCCAAGUUUAUCAAUUCACUGGAUGAUCUGUCAUCACCACCAAAAUUCCUUGUUGCCCUUGAGUUGUCUGGCAAGAUGGUUCAGCUCCCCGGCUGGAUUACACAACUCAGUGCUCUCACCAAGCUAACCCUUUCAGUAACAGCUCUCCGGACAGAUAACCUGCUGCUCCUUAGCAAGCUAGAGGCACUGUUCUCCCUCACCUUCUCAUUCAGGGCAGAAAAGCAGGAUUCGGAAACACUGACCAUUCUGGCAGAAAACAAGCUGUGCUCUGAUGGGGAGAUCACAAUUCCAGAUGCUGGUUUUAAGAGCCUUAAGCUUCUUCGCUUCUUUGCUCCUCUCUUGCCAGUACUGACCUUUUCGAAGAAUGCCAUGCCAGAGCUGGAGAGGCUUGAGCUACGGUUCAGCAUGCUGGAGGGGCUUUAUGGCGUGGAAAACCUUGCGGGACUCAAGGUGGUGCACCUGACGUUGAAGGACAAAGACGGUGAAUAUAUGACGAAAGAGGUGCAGCAUGAGGUAGAGACAGCAGUGAAGAGGAGGACCGAUGGCAAGGCGCCCAAGAUAAUCCUUGAUCAGUGA